UCCAGGCUGUUGUUUUCCCUUGGCCUUUCUUAUCCUUUGUAAUUGUCCCUAAUCCAUUGUAAUUUAUUCUAAUAUUUUACCUAACGUGAGCCCAGUUUGCCGGGAGUACAUUUUAACCAAAACAUGAAUUGUCAUUUGAAAAACACAUGUGUGUUCUGUAUCUUUGACCCCUUGUAAAAGUGAGUAGAGCUCUAACAGGAUGAAACAGCUAAUAUGCAGACAAAUAUAAGCAAGAAGAAUCUUCUCGUUCACCAGGACUAAAAUUAGAAGUCAGUGGUGACCAAGAAAGUAUGCAGAUGGAGCAAUCAGAAGGAGCUCAGAGGAGGCCUGGAAAAAGAGACAGAGACAGCGAGAGCAGGAACACAAGCAGGGGGAGUGGGAGAGGGAGAAGCAGGCUCCCGCCGAGCAUGGAGCCCGAUGGGGGCUCGAUCCCAGGACCCUGGGAUCAUGACCUGAGCCGAAGGCAGUCGCUUAACCAACUGAGCCACCCAGGCGCCCGAUCCAUUCUCCACCAUCCACCCUGCUCUCUGUGGAGGCUGACUUGUGUGAACUAUGCCAGUGGACUCCUGUGGCUUAUGGUCAAUCCAGCAAGAGAUCAAACAGGAGGGAGGAGAAGGAAUUUAGGGACGUUAACUGAAACCCCACCAUGCCUAAGCGGCAGAAAGCAGGAUGCAAGGACACCUGGACUAAGAACGAUGGGAUGAUUCUAACAAGAAGAUGUUUAAUACAAAGUCCAGGUGAAGAUGUGGUGACUACAACAUUAUGUGAAGUUUUGAGUAUUGUUGACUCUCUGUGAAUCAAGAGGUGACAAAAUGUACACCUCCCAAAUAAAAUUUUAGCUUUCUAAAGCCCCAGGUAAGGGAAUGUUUGCAUUCUCUUCCUUUGUGGUCCAACCACUCUUAGAGUACUGUGUUCAGCUUUAGGUGAUACAUGAAAAAUCUGCUGCAGAUUUUAAUGCUUCUGUUUUAAUUUCAGCCUGUCUAUUGGGUACAUGGACGGAGUGAAUACAUGCUACAAAAUUAGAUAAUUUGCUAGGUAGACAGGGGGCUGCUUCUAAAAUCACCUUUCCCUUCCAGUUUUUAAGAAAUUGUUUUUUGAACCAAACUCUCACUUCCAUUAAAUUCUUUCCCAGGAAGCUUCUGGAAUUUUUAUACAAAUAGAUUUAAUAAUAAAUCUUAAGCAAACCUUAAACAAAUCCAGACCUAUGUACACAUUUUAGCCUCAAA